ensembl:misc_RNA Metazoa_SRP Metazoan signal recognition particle RNA
GCCAGGUGCAGUGGCUCACACCUGUAAUCCCAGCACACUCCGGGAGGCCGAGGCAGGUGGAUCACUUGAGCUUAGGAGUUUUGAGACAAGCCUGGCCAACAUCGUGAAACCUGUCUCUACAAAAAAUUAGCUGGGAUUACAGGGAUUCACGCCUAUAAUCCCAGCUACUCAGGUGGCUGAGGUAUGAGAAUCACUUGAACCCAUGAAACGGAGGUUGCAGUGAGCUGAAAUCCCGCCAUUGCACUCCAGCCUGGGCAACAGAGUGAGACUCUGUCUCA